rnacentral:rRNA from 1 species
GACGAACGCUGGCGGCGUGCUUAACACAUGCAAGUCGAACGGUGAAAGCGGAGCUUGCUCCGCUGGAUCAGUGGCGAACGGGUGAGUAACACGUGGGCAACCUGCCCCUCACUUCGGGAUAACUCCGGGAAACCGGGGCUAAUACCGGAUAUGACCUCCUUGGGCAUCCUUGGAGGUGGAAAGUUUUUCGGUGAGGGAUGGGCCCGCGGCCUAUCAGCUUGUUGGUGAGGUAGUGGCUCACCAAGGCGACGACGGGUAGCCGGCCUGAGAGGGCGGCAGGCCACACUGGGACUGAGACACGGACCGGACUCCGACGGGAGGCAGCAGUGGGGAAUAUUGCGCAGUGGGCGAAAGCCUGACGCAGCAACGCCGCGUGGGGGAAGACGGCCUUCGGGUUGUAAACCGCUUUCAGCAGGGAAGAAGCCGCAAGGUGACGGUACCUGCAGAAGAAGCACCGGCUAACUACGUGCCAGCAGCCGCAGUAA